rnacentral:rRNA from 1 species
CAACAGGGAUUGCCUCAGUAACGGCGAGUGAAGCGGCAACAGCUCAAAUUUGAAAUCUGGCUCCUCCGGGGGUCCGAGUUGUAAUUUGUAGAGGAUGUUUCGGGUGCGGGGCCGGUCGAAGUCCCUUGGAACAGGGCGUCACAGAGGGUGAGAAUCCCGUACGUGGCCGGCGACCAAGCCCAUGUGAAACUCCUUCGACGAGUCGAGUUGUUUGGGAAUGCAGCUCAAAAUGGGUGGUAAAUUUCAUCUAAAGCUAAAUACCGGCCAGAGACCGAUAGCGCACAAGUAGAGUGAUCGAAAGAUGAAAAGCACUUUGGAAAGAGAGUUAAAAAGUACGUGAAAUUGUUGAAAGGGAAGCGCUUGCAACCAGACCUGCCCGUGGGUGCUCAGCGGGGGUUCUCCCCCGUGCACUCGCCCACGAUCAGGCCAGCAUCAGUUUCGGCGACCGGAUAAAGGCCCCAGGAAUGUGGCUCCUCUCGGGGAGUGUUAUAGCCUGGGGUGGCAUACGGCCAGCUGGGACUGAGGACCGCGCUUCGGCAAGGAUGCUGGCGUAAUGGUUGUAAGCGGCCCGUCUUGAAACACGGACCAAGGAGUCGACCUAUUAUGCGAGUGUUUGGGUGUCAAACCCAUGCGCGCAAUGAAAGUGAACGGAGGUCAGAGCCCUUUAGGGUGCAUGAUCGACCGAUCCUGAAGUUUACGGAUGGAUUUGAGUAUGAGCAUAUUGGGUCGGACCCGAAAGAUGGUGAACUAUGCCUGAAUAGGGUGAAGCCAGAGGAAACUCUGGUGGAGGCUCGCAGCGGUUCUGACGUGCAAAUCGAUCGUCAAAUUUGGGUAUAGGGGCGAAAGACUAAUCGAACCAUUAGGGGUGCUAGGUGGUUAAGAAGGGUUACCAGUACUCUCAGCCUUUCGAGGCGACAAUGCUAUGUGCGUGGACCUACCCAGGACAUGCAGCGGCCGCGAGAGCGCCCGUACACAGACCAAAUAGCGUUGGCCGGUGGUCCCCACCGGUUCUGAUAUGGCCGAGUCCUGCCUCUGCACGGAGGCGGGGUGA